rnacentral:rRNA from 1 species
UGCUGCUUCGCUGACGAGUGGCGGACGGGUGAGUAAUGUCUGGGAAACUGCCUGAUGGAGGGGGAUAACUACUGGAAACGGUGGCUAAUACCGCAUAACGUCGCAAGACCAAAGAGGGGGACCUUCGGGCCUCUUGCCAUCAGAUGUGCCCAGAUGGGAUUAGCUUGUUGGUGAGGUAACGGCUCACCAAGGCGACGAUCCCUAGCUGGUCUGAGAGGAUGACCAGCCACACUGGAACUGAGACACGGUCCAGACUCCUACGGGAGGCAGCAGUGGGGAAUAUUGCACAAUGGGCGCAAGCCUGAUGCAGCCAUGCCGCGUGUAUGAAGAAGGCCUUCGGGUUGUAAAGUACUUUCAGCGGGGAGGAAGGUGUUGUGGUUAAUAACCGCAGCAAUUGACGUUACCCGCAAAAGAAGCACCGGCUAACUCCGUGC